UACGUAGGGGCUAGCGUUGUCCGGAAUCAUUGGGCGUAAAGAGCGUGUAGGCGGCCCGGUAAGUCCGCUGUAAAAGUCAAAGGCUCAACCUUUGAAUGUCAGUGGAUACUGCCGGGCUAGAGUCCGGAAGAGGCGAGUGGAACUCCUGGUGUAGCGGUGGAAUGCGCAGAUAUCAGGAGGAACACCAAUUGCGAAGGCAGCUCGCUGGGACGUCACUGACGCUGAGACGCGAAAGCGUGGGGAGCAAACAGG
rnacentral:rRNA from 1 species